CGACACGGGGAGGUAGUGACAAUAAAUACUGAUACAGGGCUCUUUUGGGUCUUGUAAUUGGAAUGAGUACAAUUUAAAUCCCUUAACGAGGAACAAUUGGAGGGCAAGUCUGGUGCCAGCAGCCGCGGUAAUUCCAGCUCCAAUAGCGUAUAUUAAAGUUGUUGCAGUUAAAAAGCUCGUAGUUGAACCUUGGGCCUGGCUGGCCGGUCCGCCUCACCGCGUGUACUGGUCCGGCCGGGCCUUUCCUUCUGGGGAACCUCAUGCCCUUCACUGGGCGUGUUGGGGAACCAGGACUUUUACUUUGAAAAAAUUAGAGUGUUCAAAGCAGGCCUUUGCUCGAAUACAUUAGCAUGGAAUAAUAGAAUAGGACGUGUGGUUCUAUUUUGUUGGUUUCUAGGACCGCCGUAAUGAUUAAUAGGGAUAGUCGGGGGCAUCAGUAUUCAAUCGUCAGAGGUGAAAUUCUUGGAUUGAUUGAAGACUAACUACUGCGAAAGCAUUUGCCAAGGAUGUUUUCAUUAAUCAGUGAACGAAAGUUAGGGGAUCGAAGACGAUCAGAUACCGUCGUAGUCUUAACCAUAAACUAUGCCAGCUAGGGAUCGGAGGACGUUACAUGUUCGACUCCUUCGGCACCUUAUGAGAAAUCAAAGCAUUUGGGUUCCGGGGGGAGUAUGGUCGCAAGGCUGAAACUUAAAGGAAUUGACGGGAGGGCACCACCAGGAGUGGAGCCUG
rnacentral:rRNA from 1 species